GGACGAACGCUGGCGGCGUGCUUAACACAUGCAAGUCGAGCGGUAAGGCCCUUUCGGGGGUACACGAGCGGCGAACGGGUGAGUAACACGUGGGUGACCUGCCCUCAGCUCUGGGAUAAGCCUGGGAAACCGGGUCUAAUACCGGAUAUGACUCCAUGACGCAUGUUGUGGGGUGGAAAGCCUUGUGCGGCUGAGGAUGGGCCCGCGGCCUAUCAGCUUGUUGGUGGGGUGAUGGCCUACCAAGGCGACGACGGGUAGCCGGCCUGAGAGGGCGACCGGCCACACUGGGACUGAGACACGGCCCAGACUCCUACGGGAGGCAGCAGUGGGGAAUCUUGCGCAAUGGGCGAAAGCCUGACGCAGCGACGCCGCGUGAGGGAUGACGGCCU
rnacentral:rRNA from 1 species